CUUACUUUAUUCUUAUUAUGCUUGAUUUUAUUAUGCUUUUAGUGGAACCGGUGUAGUUUUUUUUUUUUUUUUUUUUUUUUUUUUGUCAUUUUUGCCUUUAUUGUGAUAUAGGACAGAUCAGGCCCGGCUCCACGGGGUGCCAGGGUGUUUUAUUUUUAGAUUUUUAUUUUAUUUUAUUUUAUUUCUGCCCCACCUGCUAGCCCCAGAGCUAACUGCAUGAAAUACAUUGCAUUAAAAUAUUUGGUGCAUGACAUGUACAGGUUCAUGCAUUAAAGUGUUAAUCUGGAAAGACUUUUUACAGAACAAAUGCUUCUAACAGAGAUGUAGAAGUAAAGGAAACCGACCUCUAGUUUGGCUGAGUCCAUGAUUUGCCGGACUUCCUGUUCAAAGUCAGCGAAGCGGUCGUGGUAAAGAGCAAAGCACCAGUUCUCUCUAAAAUAACUGGAAAAAGGGAAAUUAAAAAGUCACAUUUGUAUUUAAAGACAUGGUUCACUUGAAAUAUCUAAAUUUGGUCAUUAUUCUGUGUCAUUAAUUUUGUCCUUAUGUUUGCUAAAUGCUAGACACGCAAUGUUUUCUGGCUUUGUUUUUUGUCUUUUUUAGAGCUUGACAGAUGUGGUCACUAUGAGCUGUGAUGGUCUGCAUGAAGAUUCAUCAGAAAUGCUUCCUUUGCAUUCCAUGGAAAACAUAACAGCAUACAGGUGUGGAGGGGUGAAUUUUUUUUAGCACCAUGAAUAAGAUACUGCUUAAGAAAUUCAGAAGGAGCAAUGGUGACCUUGGAUCUUGGCCUGAUUAUAUGCUGGAAUGAGAUGGUCUUGGUCAGACGGUGGGCCGGAGGGACGCUCCAGGGUUGGGUCACACAAGGGCAGGACAACAGAU